rnacentral:rRNA from 1 species
GACGAACGCUGGCGGCGUGCUUAACACAUGCAAGUCGAACGGAAAGGCCCUGCUUUUGUGGGGUGCUCGAGUGGCGAACGGGUGAGUAACACGUGAGUAACCUGCCCUUGACUUUGGGAUAACUUCAGGAAACUGGGGCUAAUACCGGAUAGGAGCUCCUGCUGCAUGGUGGGGGUUGGAAAGUUUCGGCGGUUGGGGAUGGGCUCGCGGCUUAUCAGCUUGUUGGUGGGGUAGUGGCUUACCAAGGCUUGACGGGUAGCCGGCCUGAGAGGGUGACCGGCCACAUUGGGACUGAGAUACGGCCCAGACUCCUACGGGAGGCAGCAGUGGGGAAUAUUGCACAAUGGGCGGAAGCCUGAUGCAGCAACGCCGCGUGCGGGAUGACGGCCUUCGGGUUGUAAACCGCUUUCGCCUGUGACGAAGCGUGAGUGACGGUAAUGGGUAAAGAAGCACCGGCUAACUACGUG